AGCGCAGGUGGUUUAUUAAGUCUGGUGUAAAAGGCAGUGGCUCAACCAUUGUAUGCAUUGGAAACUGGUAGACUUGAGUGCAGGAGAGGAGAGUGGAAUUCCAUGUGUAGCGGUGAAGUGCGUAGAUAUAUGGAGGAACACCGGUGGCGAAAGCGGCUCUCUGGCCUGUAACUGACACUGAGGCUCGAAAGCGUGGGAGCAAACCA
rnacentral:rRNA from 1 species